GCCCACUGAAAUUUUUAAAUGGCCGCAGUAAUUUGACUGUGCAAAGGUAGCAUAAUCAUUAGUUUUUUAAUUAAAAGCUUGUAUGAAAGGUUGGACGAAGUAAAAUCUGUCUCUAUAUAAUUUAAAGUAGAAUUUAAUUUUUAAGUUAAAAAGCUUAAAUUUUAGUAAAAGACGAGAAGACCCUAAAGAGCUUUAUAAUUUAAUUAUUAUAAUAAAUUAAGAUUUAUUUAAGUUUUAUUAAUUAAAUUAUUUUAUUGGGGUAAUAGGAAGAUUAAAUAAAUUCUUUUUUAAUAUUUACAUUUAUUUAUGAUGUUAAUGAUCCAUUUUUAUUGAUUAUAAGAUUAAGUUACCUUAGGGAUAACAGCGUAAUUUUUUUAGAGAGUUCAUAUCGAUAAAAAAGUUUGCGACCUCGAUGUUGGAUUAAAGAUUAAUUUAGGUGUAGAAGUUUAAAUUUUUGGUCUGUUCGACCAUUAAAUCUUUACAUGAUCUGAGUUCAGACCGGUGUAAGCCAGGUCGGUUUCUAUCUUUAUUACAUUUAAAUAUUUUAGUACGAAAGGACCAAAUAUUUGAUAUAUUUAUAUUUUUAAUUUUGAAUAUUAAUAUUAUUUUGGCAGAUUAGUGCAAUAAAUUUAGAAUUUAUAAAUGUAAUUAAAUUACAGAUAACACUUGUUUUAUAUAGAUUUAUUGUUUUCUUUAAUUUGUAUAUUAUUAUUAUUAAUUUGUAUUUUAGUAGGAGUUGCAUUUUUAACUUUAUUAGAACGAAAAGUAUUAGGUUAUA
rnacentral:rRNA from 1 species